rnacentral:tRNA from 1 species
ACCUGGGUGGCUCAGUCGGUUAAGCAUCUGACUUCGGCUCAGGUCAUGAUCUCAAGAUCCGUGGGUUCGAGCCCUGCAUCAGGCU